rnacentral:rRNA from 1 species
UGGGGAAUAUUGCACAAUGGGCGCAAGCCUGAUGCAGCCAUGCCGCGUGUGUGAAGAAGGCCUUCGGGUUGUAAAGCACUUUCAGCGGGGAGGAAGGCGAUAAGGUUAAUAACCUUGUCGAUUGACGUUACCCGCAGAAGAAGCACCGGCUAACUCCGUGCCAGCAGCCGCGGUAAUACGGAGGGUGCAAGCGUUAAUCGGAAUUACUGGGCGUAAAGCGCACGCAGGCGGUCUGUCAAGUCGGAUGUGAAAUCCCCGGGCUUAACCCGGGAAAUGCAUCUGAUACUGGUCAGCUAGAGUCUUGUAGAGGGGGGUAGAAUUCCAUGUGUAGCGGUGAAAUGCGUAGAGAUGUGGAGGAAUACCGGUGGCGAAGGCGGCCCCCUGGACAAAGACUGACGCUCAGGUGCGAAAGCGUGGGGAGCAAACAGG